GCGACCCCAGGUCAGGCGGUAUUACCCGCUGAGUUUAAGCAUAUCAAUAAGCAGAGGAAAAGAAACUUACAAAGAUUCCCUUAGUAACAGCGAGCGAACCGGGAACAGCUCAGCCUUAGAAUCGGCCGGCUCCGUCGUCCGAAUUGUAGUCUGGAGAGCCGUCAUCAGCAGUGGACUGGGCCCAAGUCCCCUGGAAGGGGGCUCCAGAGAGGGUGAGAGCCCCGUUAUGCCUGGACCCUAUCGCACCACGAGGCACUAUAUACGAGUCGGGUUGUUUGGGAAUGUAGCCCAAAUCGGGCGGUGAAUUCCGUCCAAGGCUAAAUACGGGCGAAAGACCAAUAGAGAACAAGUGCCGCAAGGGAAAGAUGAAAAGGACUUUGAAAAGAGAGUCAAAAAGUGCUGGAAAUUAUCGGGAGGGAAGCGGAUGGGGGCCGGCGAUGCGCCCUGAGAAGGAUGUAGAACGGCGAUGAGCCGAUCUGCCGAUCGACUCGAGGUGUGGACCAGCGUCGAUUGGGGGGGUGGUCAAACCCUGGUCUCUCGAUAUGCUCGUGGAACUCCGUCUCCUCGAUUGUGGCAUGCAGCGCGCGCCUCCGAUGUUCUUCGCCAUCUACUCGCUCCGGACGCUGGCCUGUGGGCUCCCCAUUCGACCCGUCUUGAAACAUAGACCAAGGAGUCUGACAUGUGUGUGAGUCAACGGGCGAGUAUACCCGUAAGACGCAACGAAGAUGAUUGGUGGGAUCCCCCCGAGGGGUGCACCGUCGACCGACCUUGAUCUUCUGAGAAGGGUUCGAGUGUGAGCAUACCUGUCAGGAUCUGAAAGAUGGUGAACUAUGCCUGAGUGGGGCAAAGCCAGAGAAAACUCAGGUGGAGGCCCGCAGCGAUACUGACGUGCAAAUCGUUCGUCUGACUUGGGUAUAGGGGCAAAAGACUAAUCGAACCGUAUAGUAGCUGGUUCCCUCUGAACUUUCCCUCAGGAUAGCUUGAGCUCACGUGCGAGUUCUAUCGGGUAAAGCUAAUGAUUAGAGUCCUCGGGGGCGCAACGCCCUCGACCUAUUCUCAAACUUUAAAUAGGUAGGACGACGCGGCUGCUUGGUUGAGCCGCACCACGGAAUUAAGAGCUCCAAGUGGGCCAUUUUUGGUAAGCAGAACUGGCGAUGUGGGAUGAACCGAAAGCUGGAUUACGAUUCCAAACUGCGCACUAACCGAGAUCUCACAAAGGGUGUUGGUCGAUUAAGACAGCAAGACGGUGGUCAUGGAAGGCAAAAUCCGCUAAGGAGUGUGUAACAACUCACCUGUCGAAUAAACUAGCCUCAAAAAUGGAUGGAGCUUAAGCGCGCGACCUACACCCGGCCGUCGGGACAAAUGCCAGGCCCCAAUGAGUUGGAGGGCGUGGAGGUCGCUGCAAAACCUUGGGCGAGAUCCCGGGUGGAGCGGCCGUCGGUGCAGAUCUUGGUGGUAGUAGAAAAAACUUUGAAUGCCGAAGUGGGGAAAAGGUCCAUGUUAACGGCACUUGCACAUGGGUUAGUCGAUCCUAAGGUUCGGGGAAACCUGACAGACAGCGCAUUUCGCGCGUGCUCCGAAAGAGAAUGGGGUUAAAAUUCCUGAACUAGGACGUGGCGGUCGACGACAACAUUAGGAAGUUCGGAGACGUCGGCGGGAGCCUCGGGAAGAGUUAUCUUUUCAUUUUAACAGCCUGCCCACCCUGGAAUCAGCUCAGCCAGAGGUAGGGUCCAGCGGCUGGAAGAGCACCGCACGUCGCGUGGUGUCCGGUGCGCUCCCGGCGGCCCUUGAAAAUCUGGAGGACCGAAUGCCAUCCACGCUCGGUCGUACUCAUAACUGGAUCAGGUAUCCAAGUUGAACAACCUCUGGUCGAUGUAACAAUGUAGGCAAGGUAAGUCAGCAAAAUGGAUCUGUAACUUUGGGACAAGGAUUGGCUCUGAGGGCUGGGUUUAGACCGUCGUGAGACAGGUUAGUUUUACCCUAAUGACGACAGUGUCGCAAUAGUAAUUCAACCUAGUACGAGAGGAACCGUUGAUUCACACAAUUGUUCAUCGCGCUUGGUUGAAAAGCCAGUGGAGCGAAGCUACCGUGUGCAGGAUUAUGACUGAACGCCUCUAAGUCAGAAUUCGGGCAACAAGCGACGCAUGUGCCCGCCGUUCGCUUGCCGACCCGCAGUAGGGGCCUCGGCCCCCAAGGGCACGUGU
rnacentral:rRNA from 1 species